UAAACUUUGGCAUUCUGGUCUUUUUUUUUUCUUUUUUUUUCAUACACUCAUUAGUCCUUUAUAAACAUGUAUGACUUUCUAUGAUCUCUGAGAACUCGGAAGAGGGAUAGAAAGGUCUGCCAAACAGACUCAGAGUAGAGUUCUGUCUGUUCACAUGUAACUUUGAGAGACAAUAAACUCAGUGACAGAGUACUUACCCGGAGUGAUCAAAGCUGAAAAGAGAAAGCGUUGGCA
rnacentral:lncRNA from 1 species